rnacentral:rRNA from 1 species
GUCCACGCUGUAAACGAUGAUUACUAGGUGUGGGGGGUCUGACCCCUUCCGUGCCGGAGUUAACACAAUAAGUAAUCCACCUGGGGAGUACGGCCGCAAGGUUGAAACUCAAAGGAAUUGACGGGGGCCCGCACAAGCAGUGGAGUAUGUGGUUUAAUUCGAAGCAACGCGAAGAACCUUACCAGGUCUUGACAUCCAACUAACGAAGUAGAGAUACAUUAGGUGCCCUUCGGGGAAAGUUGAGACAGGUGGUGCAUGGUUGUCGU